rnacentral:rRNA from 1 species
CUCGUAGGCGGCCAACUAAGUCAGACGUGAAAUCCCUCGGCUUAACCGGGGAACUGCGUCUGAUACUGGAUGGCUUGAGAUUGGGAGAGGGAUGCGGAAUUCCAGGUGUAGCGGUGAAAUGCGUAGAUAUCUGGAGGAACACCGGUGGCGAAGGCGGCAUCCUGGACCAACACUGACGCUGAGGAGCGAAAGCCAGGGGAGCAAACGGGAUUAGAUACCCCGGUAGUCCUGGCCCUAAACGAUGAAUGCUCGGUGUGGCGGGUAUCGAUCCCUGCCGUGCCGAAGCUAACGCAUUAAGCAUUCCGCCUGGGGAGUACGGUCGCAAGGCUGAA